rnacentral:tRNA from 1 species
GGAGAGUGAUGGGUGCCUGGUGGCCCUCGCGGUCUUCAAAACCGUUGUCGGCCCGUUUACGGGUCGAGGUAUGUUCGAUUCGUACCCUCUCCGCCA